CUUCCCGCUUACCGAAGAUACUUGUACAUGCUGCUAUGCACCGGAAGUCCAUGUCUAUCGACUUCCGUUUCAUCGGUGUACACCCAAGUACCUCCAACCUGACCGGUUUGUUCGAAAACCGUCAAACUAUAAUUUUCCGGCUUCGACGACACAUGGCGCGCCACCACUAGACCAGAAACUCCAGCACCGAUUAUGGCAACUCUGGUUUUAGUGCUCGGCAUUUUUUAAUCUAAGGACAUAGACAUACGUUAAGACUGUCCACCGACGGGCCUAUGCAGUGGACUGAACUUCUAUCCCGUCUUCCCCCAAACGACACUCGCCGCUGCACAACAUACGCACGCUUGUAAAUACGAAUCAAUUCUUUCGAGAAAGCCAUUUUGCUUUCUGACGAAAUCAGGAGAAUACGAUGUCAUAAGAUCGGGGAUUGCCAUCAAAAGAAAGAUAUAUAUAUAUAUGUGCGCGUAUGUAUUUUUCGAAAUUAUCGAAGCUCCCAUAAGCGAUGCACAGAAGCUUACUGUGAAUACCCUUCGCUAUCUUAAUGAUAUAUGACGUGACGUAGAUUCAUUAAUCGAUUAUUUUACUUUAAUGAGAUUAUACGUAUACAAUACUUAUGACGCAAUAGUUUGAAUCGUUAUAGAGAAGAUACUACAGAGAUUUAUUACAAAGGCACGUGCCUCUGUACAGAAUUAUCAUAGUUGGAUGAAAACUUCCUGGAUACAAUUUUAUGGUGAAAGUCCUCGGUUAGCGUACUGUACUAAUUACCGGCCUGAGUAAUUUAGCCCUGGGGCCAAGGAACUUUACCUACUAUACUUGUAACAUUUAUGUUCGCCGAUAAUUACAUGUUCGCUAUGCACAUUCAGGCUGAGAUUAAAAACAGGAAACCUUGUUUUACUUUAUUUAGGAGUUCUGAGCAGCAACGGGGUUUUUUUUAAUUAUAGGCAAUGUAUGUAUGCUUUGGGAAAGGAGUGAAAGAUAAUAUUUUCUGCAAAAUACAGAUAUAUAGAUUUU